rnacentral:rRNA from 1 species
GAUGAACGCUGGCGGCGUGCCUAAUACAUGCAAGUCGAGCGAACGGACGAUAAGCUUGCUUCUCUGAUGUUAGCGGCGGACGGGUGAGUAACACGUGGAUCACCUACCUAUAAGACUGGGAUCACUUCGGGAAACCGUAGCUAAUACCGGAUAAUAUUUUGAACCGCAUGGUUCAAAAGUGAAAGACGGUCUUGCUGUAACUUAUAGAUGGAUCCGCGCUGCAUUAGCUAGUUGGUAAGGUAACGGCUUACCAAGGCAACGAUGCAUAGCCGACCUGAGAGAGUGGUCGGCCACACUAGAACGUAGACACGGUCCAGACUCCUACGGGAGGCAGCAGUAGGGAAUCUUUCGCAGUGGGCGAAAGCCUGACGGAGCGACGCCGCGUGAGUGAUAGAGGUGUUCGGAUCGUGAAACUCUGUUUUUGGGGAAGAACAUAUGUGGAAGUAACUGUGCAGAUCUUGACGGUACCUAAUCAGAAAGCCACGGCUAACUACGUG